rnacentral:lncRNA from 1 species
CCCCCAGUCCUCCCGGGGGGACGGGGACGCCCCCACCGCCUCGGGGAUGCUCCGGGGACGGGGACGUCCCAUGGCCUCGGGGAUGCUCCAGGGAUGAGGAUGCCCUGGGGACGGUGAUGCCCCACGGCCUUGGAGAUGCUCUAGGGAUGGGGAUGUCCUGGGGAUGGGGAUGUCCUGGAGAUGGGGACGCCCCACCACCUUGGGGAUGCUCUGGGGAUGGGGACACCCCAUGGCCUCGGGGAUGCUCCGGGGAUGAGGAUGCCCUGGGGACGGUGAUGCCCCACGGCCUUGGAGAUGCUCUAGGGAUGGGGAUGUCCUGGGGAUGGGGACGCCCCAUGGCCUCGGGGACAUCCCCAGGGAUGGGGCUGCCUUGGGGAUGGGGGCACCCCAGGGACAGAAGCAGCCUGCAGCCUUGGGACAUCCCGGGGACGGGAACGCCGCCAAGGAUGGGGCACCCUGUGGCCUUGGGGGUGGCCCGGGGAUGGGGAUGCCCCUGAUGACGAUGGCACUCCGGGGAGGGUGAGGCCCUGCGGCCUCGGGGGUGACCUGGGGAUACCCCAGUGACGAUGGCACCCCAAUGACAAUGGCAUCCUGGGGAUGAUGGUACCCCGACAACGAUGGCCCCCCAUGCCCUCGGGGACACCGUGGAGAUGAUGGCACCACCGGAUGGCAGUGACACCCUAGGGGACAAUGACACCCUGAUGGCGAUGAUGCCCUGUGGCCUCAGGGACACCCCAGGGGCCAUGUCACCCCGAUGGCAACAGCACCCCGAUGGCGGUGGCACCCUGAUGAGGAUGGCACCCUCACGAUGGUGGCACCCCGAUGACGAUGGUGCCCCAGGGACGAUGGCACCCCGGGGAUGAUGGCACCUCGAUGAUGAUGGCCCCGUCCCCGCGGUGCGUCCCCCUCCCCUCCCGCCUGCCCUGCCUCAGCCCCAAGGCCAAUUUGGGCCGUUUUGGGGCUUUUUGGAGCAAGCGGGGCUCCCGCUCCCUCCCUCCCGCCCAGGUUUGGGGCAGGGAGGUCCCCGAGCUGGCUGAGGGACCCAGGCAUCCGGGCCCUCUGGACACAUAUCAGGGCCGGGAAGGGGGUGGGGGUGGGAGGGCGAAACUUUGCACUUUGGGGCUGGGGCACCGCUGCAAAAGGUUUAUUUUUUGUCUAAUCUUGAAGUGCAAUAAAGGAAAUAGUAAACGGAAA